AUAGGUUUACUGCUAGGUUCAGAUCUUCCGCUCACGAAAUUUGCCCCUUUCAGGCAGCAUACAUCAUGGUCAUUAUUUUUUGGCAUUUUUAGUGAUGCUCGUUAUAUUGUACCAGCACAAUGGCUAUAUCCUGUGCCUGUUUUGAUCAAUAUAUGGUUUGGAGUUUCCUCGGAAAAAAUCGGGUUCCUCGCUCAAGGCUCAAGGAGGUUGAGGCACCGGCGAUGCCCUCAUAGGAGCUGCUCAAUUGAGCCUGAACCCAACGAUGGUAUCUAGACUUGCUUUCAAGAUACCUGACUAGGAUCUCUUGCUAAUGAGGUGCAGCCUUUCCUCUC